AUACUUACCUGGCAGGGGAGAUACCAUGAUCACGAAGGUGGUUUUCCCUGGGUGAGGCUUAUCCAUUGCACUCCGGAUGUGCUGACCCCUGCGAUUUCCCCAAAUGUGGAAAACUCGACUGCAUAAUUUGUGGUAGUGGGAGACUGAGUUCACACUUUCCCCUG
ensembl:snRNA U1 U1 spliceosomal RNA